rnacentral:lncRNA from 1 species
UCGAAUGUGACUCUUCCCGGUUCCAGUGCACGUCCCAUUCGAGCCGGAUCCAUACCAAACUCUGAAGGUAAGAAACGCUGCAGUGUUGUCUUUACAUUAAUAUUUACAUUAACAUUUACUGUUCAAAAAAAAUAUUUUAUUAUAAAAAUAAUAAUUUAAAUAUGUAGUAUGUUUCAGAAUAAAUGACGAAAUAUUUUGAAAAAAAUUCUUUUUUUCCUUUAUUUAUUUUAGAGAUAAACAUGUUUAUUGUUUUUAUGUAAUUUUGUAGCCUCUUGUUUUUUUUUUCCUUUGUGUUGAGUGGAUCAUCCACCAGUCUGACAAAGGAAAAGUUAGUGCAAUAAAUUACUUUGUUUUCUAGCUGAAAAUGGAUAAUAAAAAAAAAUAAUUGAAUAAACUAAUAAACAGAAGAAAUGAAAAAGAAGAUUUGUAUAGGAAUCAGCCAAAAAGUACUUUGCAUGUUUUUCACCACCCAUUUCUAAGAGUAGCAAUAUCCUUCUCCAAAAAGGAUAUUUGGCUUUGUCCUUCUCCAAAAAGGCAAAUACCCCAGGAAGUUUGUGCUUUGCAUACAUAAUAAUUCCUUCAAACAACGAAAAAAAAAGGAAGAAAAGAAGAGAGAAGCUAAUUCCUCUUUGAUGUAAUUAUAUUAGAGAUUACCUUAACAUUCCCAGCUUCUUUAAUGGCUUCCACCAGCUUGAGCUGCAACGAAAUGUUGUGGCUGCGAAAAUGCACCCCAGACAUGGUGCAAAUGACAACAUCGGCUUGCUUAACAGCCUCCACCAAGCUUUUGUGAUCAUUGAACGAGCCCUCCAGAAGGUGAGCUCCUUGCUUCUUGAACGACA